rnacentral:pre_miRNA from 1 species
AGACAACGACGAUGGUGAUGAUGAUGAUGAUACUGAUGAUUAUUAUCAUCGUCAUCAUCAUCAUCGUAG